rnacentral:sRNA from 1 species
CCCCAAGAAAUUCGUUUUUAGUAAUGAACAAGGGACUCCACUAGCAAUUUCCAAAAUUAUGCAUGAUGCAAAGCCCGUAAAAAGCCCAUCGAAAACAUUACAUCAGUAUGAGAAACAAGGAGGUUUUGAGGAUGCAAAAAAUGAUUUAAAGUAUCUUAGUACGCAACAAAUAGAAGAUAGAACAGAUAUUUGUCUCGGAGGAGCAGGAAACACCAAA